rnacentral:rRNA from 1 species
UUACUGAGUGAGGGCCCUCUGGGUCCAACCUCCCACCCGUGUUUAUUGUACCUUGUUGCUUCGGUGCGCCCGCCUCACGGCCGCCGGGGGGCUUCUGCCCCCGGGUCCGCGCGCACCGGAGACACUAUUGAACUCUGUCUGAAGAUUGCAGUCUGAGCAUAAACUAAAUAAGUUAAAACUUUCAACAACGGAUCUCUUGGUUCCGGCAUCGAUGAAGAACGCAGCGAAAUGCGAUAACUAAUGUGAAUUGCAGAAUUCAGUGAAUCAUCGAGUCUUUGAACGCACAUUGCGCCCCCUGGUAUUCCGGGGGGCAUGCCUGUCCGAGCGUCAUUGCUGCCCUCAAGCACGGCUUGUGUGUUGGGCUCCGUCCCCCCGGGGACGGGUCCGAAAGGCAGCGGCGGCACCGAGUCCGGUCCUCGAGCGUAUGGGGCUUUGUCACCCGCUCUGUAGGCCCGGCCGGCGCCAGCCGACAACCAAUCAUCCUUUUUUCAGGUUGACCUCGGAUCAGGUAGGGAUACCCGCUGAACUUAAGCAUAUCAAUAAGCGGAGGAAAAGAAACCAACAGGGAUUACCUCAGUAACGGCGAGUGAAGCGGUAAGAGCUCAAAUUUGAAAGCUGGCUCCUUCGGGGUCCGCAUUGUAAUUUGCAGAGGAUGUUUCGGGAGCAGCCCCCAUCUAAGUGUCCUGGAACGGACCGUCAUAGAGGGUGAGAAUCCCGUAUGGGGA